rnacentral:misc_RNA from 1 species
UUUCCGUAGGUGAACCUGCGGAAGGAUCAUUACUGAGUGUCUGAGUCCCCCAGUGGACUCAACCUCCCAACCCUUUGUGUAUUUGUCCACGUUGCUUCGGCGGAGACCGGUCAUGCCCGUCUGGGUCAGCCGCCCGCCGGAGGUUCAUUACCAAACUCUUGUUCAGUACAGUGUCGUCUGAGUCUUUGAGAUAAUCAAAACAAAACUUUCAACAACGGAUCUCUUGGUUCUGGCAUCGAUGAAGAACGCAGC